ensembl:lncRNA
GGGCUAGCACCAUGAUGGGGCCUACCCUACAAAUGGAAAGGGUGAGAUGGAAAUAGAAAGUCAGGGGCAGAGAAGCAAGGGGAAGGGAGCAGACGAUAUCCGGGUCUGGUUCUCUUGGUCAAAUUCCAGAAUGGGCCAGUCCAUUUUCGCUCGGACCUUGGCUUUUCAGUGGGGUUGAGGAAGGUGCUGAUGGAGAGUCAGGGUCUUUGUUGGCACAGGCUAUGGCACACCAUGGAAUUCCCGGACUGUCAGGGAUGGAAGGAGGCUAAUCCCUGCUCCCUCCACCCUUCCAAACACACACUAUUGCUGGGAGCCACUGUUUAUGGGGGCUGAAGCGAUGGUGUGGAGCAUUCCGGCUCUGCUACUGCUGCUAAUCAAGAAGACAAGAGCCAAAGCCCACAGACACCCAACUGUGCAUCCAGUUAGACUUGCCUCUGUAAGAGGAUGGGAGUGAAUGCACACAAAGGUGUGGGUACACAUUGGCCAUCGCUGCAAGAGCUGGGUCUGAAGCAGAACUCAAAACUAUAGGGUGCCCUGUAGGCUAUCCACCGACUACUCUACAGCUCGUUCUGCCCUUGAGAAGCCAGGCAAAUGAGGCCUCUGUUCCCCCAUCGGGGUCUCUGGUGAUUUCUAUUAUCCCCUUCACUCUCUAUGAUGACUGAUCUCCUCUUGUGGCAACCCCAUGGCAAUAACUGCUAGCAGAGAUGGUUAAGGUAAAACAGACUGCAGGAUAAUGUUGCCUUUUUUCACGCCCAUAGUUUUCCUUAUCAUAUCCUGGAGGAGUCAUAGGAGAUAAUGGUAUGGUUAGAAAAAGUCAUAAACAAUGUGGUAAUGGGCAUAUGGGCUGAUGAUUCAUAAGGAAGGGGGAGAACGCCAUGAAUCCUUAUAUGUUUCACAGGGACUGGGACCAAGAGCUUCCAGAGACAGAGGGAAACUCAAUUAAAUUGACACUGGAAGGAAAAGGCAAUAGGGUUGAUGUUGUCUCUCCUCCCACUAUUUCCAAACAAACAUUGGCUGGGGUGGAUGCUUUCCCCCAGCUGGGAAGCUAAAAAACAAAGGUUCCUGCUUUCUCACUUAGAAAUUCCAGAGGGCUGCUGGUCCUUUUCUCCCACCCUCCCCAGGGAACAAAGUGUAAACAUAGUGGGGGAGGGAAGGGACCUGGGAUUGCUACAUAUAAAAAACCCUUUAAAAAAUAAAUAAAAAGCACCAAUGGGUUUUGUUUUGUUUUACAUGAUUUUCCUUACAUCACCCCAAAGCCCAGAGAAUAGUCUGGGGAAAUCACCGACAGGAAAGACUAAGCAGCUGCUUUGCUCGUAGUUUUAACAGGAAGAGUUGGGGUUUUUUUCCCUCUCAGAGUUAGGGGCUCCUAGCUUUACAUGCUUGGAUUAUGGGGAAAGAUAGGGUAGCUUUCAAGUGUUUUCUCAGAGCUCUGGUGCCACUGAGCCUGGUCAGUGGUUAAGGUCCAUUUCACACUGAGCUUCCUAUCCCCAAAUUACCCCCUCAUACCUCCUGUUUAUUAAAGAGGUGCAUGACCCAAACUGAGGCAGAUUUUAAGGGGCCAUACUGUACCAAUGAAUCACUUGCUUUUUAUUUUCUGGCUCAUCCUGCUAAAGGGAGUUAUUAUUUUUAUCAUUAUUAUCAUUUUUUUUUAGUAAUUAUAAACAUGUCAUGACCAUCAUUACCUGUUUGGGAAACCACUGUGGAAUGGUGGGUAGUGGUGGGGGAUGGGGAAAAUAAGGUUCCUUCCCAGUCCUGGGAAAUAAGAUUCCUGGAUGCUAAGUGAGUAUAGACCCAUCUUCGGGUUCCUUCCUUGGGAGGGUUGGGUGAGGGGUUAGCACAGGACGCAGGGCUUCCUGUUAGUCCUGGGGCUGAGCCAGGGAGACCAGAGUCUCCCUAGUCUCC